rnacentral:rRNA from 1 species
UGGGGAAUAUUGGACAAUGGGGGCAACCCUGAUCCAGCCAUGCCGCGUGAGUGAAGAAGGCCUUCGGGUUGUAAAGCUCUUUAAGCGGGGAGGAAGGUCGUGCAGUUAAUACCUGCGCGAAUUGACGUUACCUGCAGAAUAAGCACCGGCUAACUCUGU